AUUGGAACACUUGGAGAGCUUGUUAAAACAGUAUGCAACUUGAGCCAUACUCCAGUCUUACUGAUUUACAGAGUAUAGCAGUGAGGCGAGGGUAUGACUCUACAGUUGUACACUAAAAAUACGCCAGGUAUCAGGUUUACAAA
ensembl:miRNA